rnacentral:rRNA from 1 species
AUUGAACGCUGGCGGCAGGCCUAACACAUGCAAGUCGAGCGGAUGAAGGGAGCUUGCUCCUGGAUUCAGCGGCGGACGGGUGAGUAAUGCCUAGGAAUCUGCCUGGUAGUGGGGGAUAACGUCCGGAAACGGGCGCUAAUACCGCAUACGUCCUGAGGGAGAAAGUGGGGGAUCUUCGGACCUCACGCUAUCAGAUGAGCCUAGGUCGGAUUAGCUAGUUGGUGGGGUAAAGGCCUACCAAGGCGACGAUCCGUAACUGGUCUGAGAGGAUGAUCAGACACAAGGGAACUGGAACAGACCACAACCACAUACGGGAGGAGCAAGAGGAAAUUUUUGAAGAAGGAGAAAAGACUUAAUCCCGCCAUGCAGCGUGAGAAAGGAAGGUCUUCGAAUGGUAAGAAAGUUUGAUUAAGGGGGAAGGCAAAUAACUUAAUCCUUUGCUGUUUUACCGUUACCAACGUAAAAAGCACCGGCUAACUUGGUG